UUCAAAGCAAGUUUUAAUGGGAAGUGAUGAGUGGUCAUCGCUCGCAAUUAAACAUGCGAGAUGGGGUGUCUGCCUAAAGCUUUACGACAAUUAGGCACCUCCAAUUCUUUACCGUCUGAUCCCUAUUUUAUUAUUAUUAUUAUAUAGUUUUUACUUGUAUGAUUUUUUUUUAUUCGAAAAAUUUAAUAGUUCUGUUUAUGUUUUUUAAAGAUUUAUUUUUGUACUUCAUAAAUUUUAUACGAACUAGUUUGGUAUUUCCUUUUGAAAAGGAUCCGAUUUUUUUAUUAAAAUAAUAUCACUAUUAAUGAAAUAACAUUUUUUUUAGAACUUAUGUUAUUUCGUAUAUUACCAAAUUUUUUUUUUGCUAAAUAAACGAUUAUUUUAUAAUAAACAAUGAAAUAUAUGAGUAACGAUUAUUUUAUAAUAGAUAAUGAAAUAUAUGAUAUACCCCUUUUCAAUUAUUUUAUAAUAGAAUGAAAUAUAUGAUAUACCCCUUUUCGUUAGUAUGGUUAUUCGGUCGAUGGUUUCCUACAUGCAACUUGUUUACAUAAACAAAAACUUGAUCUAGGUCGCAUCAUGGUAUUGAUCUUAAAUGCUUAAGUCAUGACAAUAUUGCAUUUUUUAGUAUGGAUUGAUGAUGAAGAAAAUAGUGACCCUUUACCUUAGGUCAUGCUCUGUUUUUAUAUAACUUAUUAGGAGAUCGGGUCCAUUGUUUUACCCGAUCCCUUAUAGGACUCUAUUAACUAUAAGAUAUACAUUGUACUUUUAAGAUUAGUUUAUGUCUCGUAAUUGUACAUUUAUUUUCAUAGAAUGCACUUUUUGAGAUAUGUUAUCUUAGGGUUCUUGACCAAUAGUUAUGUGAUGGUCUUAAUGGUGUUCAACAAUUCAGGGUGUAAGCUUUUAUCAUGCCAAGGUUCGAUGUUAGUAUUUUAUGAAGACAUCGACUUGAGCACACCAUUAAUCCCCCAUAGUCCAAAGGAUAAAAAUAGUCCAUGAAAAUUUGUCUUUGGACUUGAUUGUGGUAGCAAACGAGGAGUCGUCUGUGAGUAAAUUGCAUAUAUUAGUUGUUGUCAUUAGUCACAUAUGUAUAUUCUUCAUUAACAACAUUUAAUGCUUGAGCAACCCUUUUUAACCUUUGUUAAUGGCUUGUUUAGACCGCCGUUCAUUGUACUUUUGACAGUUCUUUCAUAACUUACUUGCAUGACCGUGUUAAUGUCGUCAGUUCGUUAUGAGGUCAACACUUGGAUGCUAGACCAGUAUGUCGACGUAUGUAACAGAUAAAUAUAUAACCAACAAACAAAUAAUCAUGCAGAUCUAAUAGAUCACUACAACAUAGCAACAACAUAUAUACCAGGAUACAUAACCUAAUGGGCCGACAUUGAUGCCUUCACCCACAAGUACAGUGAGGAAACUCACCUCACACUCUGAACAUAUAGCAAAAAAGAACGUUGCUCCAAAUGCAAAUUCUACAUGUUACCUAUACUACAAACAAUAACCUAAGCUCAAACUACAACUUAAAACACCCAAAAUGCCCCUAUGUCACACUUGGUCAAACUUCGGGUUAAAGGUCAAAGUCAAAAAGUCAAGGAAAAUCAAACUAACAGAGUACACCCUGCGUACUCCGUUACUACGUUGGGUGUAGUCGCAACUCAUCUAAACCACGAGACUCUAACCCAAUACGUGCAACGUACCUCUUGGUAUGCCCAACAUACUUCGUCUGGACCCAAUCCUUCUUAUUAAGUGCUCAUUCCUUAAGGACUUUUCACCCAAAUUAAGAUCUAGACCCAAAACAUCAUUCUAAGUCAUAAAUUUUCCACCUUUUCGACUUUCCAUGGCUAGAAAAGGUCAAAGAGCUAAAAUCCUAACUUAUUAUUCCAUUAAAAAAUCAUAACUCUUGUAUGGAAGGGAUAGAAGGAUAAAGAUCACAUUUUUUUUUGGUUCCUAACACCUAAAAACGUCUAAAAGGACAACUCUUAUGUUUAGAGUAAUCCAUACUAAUGAACACCAAGCUUAUGGGACCAAAAUGAACACAAACUCAAGGCUAACAAGAUCCAAGAAAAUAACUCAUAAAGUUUCAAACUUUAUACCUCCAAGAUGAUUUCACUUCCUUCUUCUUCCUUCAAGAACACCAGAAAUGCACUUUCAAGCUUAAAAAUGCUCACACAAUGGAUAUGGGUUUGCAAAGGACGAUUUGGGAGAUGGAGGUUGAUGAGGGAAAGGGUUCGAGGGGAUAAGAAUGCUUAAAUAAGGCUUAAACCCUAAAAAUUAAGGUUUUCUCGUUUGUUACAUACACCCGACAUAAUCGUGAAUACGCACAACAUACUCACAUGAGGCGUGACAUUCAUUAACGUGCCAUGGGGACCAAUUUGCAACAAAUUUUCGCUUUGGGUCAAAAAUAUAAAUUUACCUGAACAAUGAUUCUUACAACGAUCUUCCUAAUACUAAUAGUUUGAUUCUUACAACGAUCUUCCUGAUACUAAUAGUGGAUAAAAGAUCAUCCGACACAACUUUAUCAUAAUGUUGUGUCAAAGGUGGAUGCGUCUAUUAUUUGUCUAGGGAAGAAAGUGAGUGAAUCUGAACUGUUCGAUGACUGAACCGAGAGUACCUUACUUUGCACAUUUAGAGAUCAGUUUUAAUUUAUAAAGUUCUAACCUUUUUGUCAAAUCUUUGUUCAAAUAUUUUUGUGACAAUUACAAGUAAUCCAUUUUUCAUUUACUAUUUUGACACAAAGUUUGACCAUGAACUCCCCAUGGAUUCAAUCCUUACUUACCCUGUCUAUCUAAUGGUUUUUGUGGUUAUUUUUUAUUGAGACAACGACCUCGAACACUGCCACGUGUCCAUUUUUUGUGGCACCACAUGUCGCAAUCGUGUUGGUCCAUAUCGGUAUGUUGUUCGCCUUCUAGAACACUGCCACAUGUCCAUUUUUCAUGGCGCCACGUGUCACUUUCUUAUUCGGCCACAUCACUCGGUCACCCGGAGGAGUCGGAUACUGGACAAGGCAGUCCGGCGUGUUCUCGGAAUGCCACGUCAUCAGACCAGCGUUUUCCUGAAAUCUUCAAACGGUCAUAACUGUCACAUACGAGCUCCGUUUUUUAUGUUCUUUAUAUUCCUGGAAUUCUCUCGAUGAGCUCUACCACUUCCCUUUAUACCUCAACAACUAAUUCUCACUCUAUUUUAAAUUCAUAUUUUUAGACAGAUUGAACUGUUAAAGUCUAUACGAAAAUCAUAAACCCUUCAUACGAACUCCUUUCUCGACUUUUUUUAUAUUUAUGGGUUCAUAUUUAUGUGAUAUUUAACUCUCGUUUACAUUGUUUUGGCUAACCAUCAACCAAUUUUAAUGUCGCUUUCAGUGUCACGCUCUGUUGUACUUAAACUUCGAAAAAUCAUCACUUCCUUAUACAAAGUCAGAUUUUGACAUUCUUUAUAUGUACACUAUCUAUUUUUACGACUAAUAAGCAACCUAUCUCUGGUUCGAAUUUUACGAUGUAGUUUUUCGUAUAGGUUUGAACGCAAAACUUCGAACAAUCAUAACUUCUUUAUACGAAGUCAGAUUUGAGUGUUCCUUAUAUCUAUGGAAUCAUCAUCGAGACAUUAUUUUUAUCCUAAAUAAUCAUCUAUCAAAAUUGUUAUUUUUAUCGCUUAGUAAUAAAAGGUUAAUAUAGUUCGUAACGCGUAAAACUAACAAAUAAUAAAAUGAAUAUUUAUUUAUAAUAAUCACUUAAAUAAUCUAGCCCUAACUUAUGGGCGUUACAAUUCUCCCCACUUAGGAUGAUCCGUCCCGAAAUCAAACAAUAGCAAAACAACUAUGGGUAAUGAAUCUUAAACAAAUAUUUGUUUGUGUAUCGCAUACCCACAGUACUAAAUCCACUAAUUUAUUGGACUGAUAUUCAUCAUGGUAUCCUAGGUUCUUUUAUGACAACUUAUCAACAUGUCGACACAGUUUCAUCAUCAAAACAUCAACUUGGUUUUUUUAAAAUCUUACUAUAACCCAAAAUACUCUUUUUCAAUGAAUCUCCUCACACGACUAAUCCCUUAUCACUAAAGAUCAAAGUUCACGAUCUUUACGAAUCUGUAUUUCCUUCGAGUUACAACUCAGUCUUCAUCCGAGGCUCGUGCUCCUUCUCAAUUUGGGUCAUAGACUUAACCCUAUAUAAGGUCUUUACUUUGGAAUAGUAACAAACCAAAUGGUCACACUCUAAUGGUAUUCCAUUGCACAACACAACAUAUGUAUAAUCAAACUAGACUCAUGUUUCUAUGAGUCAAACUCUUAUCACGAAAAACACCUUCCUUCAUGUUCUAAUGUGUUACAACCACAUUGUAGCAAGUAACAUUUCUAGUUACUAUCUACCUAACUCUAACGAAUGUUGCAAUACUUCUUUCGAUCAUCUCGCUCAUUUCCUUCUUCAAUCCCCCGACUAAAGUCGGUUAUUACACAUGGCGUGGCUCUUUAAACCGGUCAAUUAACUUCUCAAACUUAUAUAAAUCUUACUCGAUUCGUUAUGACCACUAGGGUCUGAAUAAAAGUCAUUUUCCUAGUCAUCACCAUACCACAUGUAAUGAUGGAAACAUACAAAACAAACUCAACUACUAGUGCCUUAGUAACCUUGUGACUCUAUUUGAUCCAAGUGUGAGUCUUGUGUUGUGGGUAGUAUAGACCUCUACUACCUUCCACACAUAUUCAUACUCGUUCCAAGAAUUUUCUGGUAGUCUCCAAUUCACUAUAUCACUAAGCAACUAAUCACACAAAAGUGUUUUCAAACAAGUACAUACAAUAAUUUCUCCUAUAAUCAACUAGGGAUUUUACAUAUCUAUCAAGCACAUCUUGGCUUUCCCAUACUUGCCUUUUAGGAUCCUUCUCAUGCAUAUGUCUGAUCUAGCAUGUUCUAAUACUUUUCCUAGGUCACUAGUAAUUUUCACUUCCAAGCUCUUCAUAUAAAUUCUUUCUCGAGUGUUGUCUAGUCUACAAGGUACACUAUAGUAGAAUUUAUUCUAGCGGUAUGGAGAAAAACACUCUCUAACUACUUGUAUCAUCUUUUAACUCAUGCAAGUCACCAUACAUAUCAUUCUAUUUCUUCAUUUCAUAAUCCUUCCAUGACAUCGUUUGUAACACUCGGUUUUGAAAGUGUUUCGUUGCUCGGGGUUACGGCCCAAUCAUCAAUUGUCAUAAGGAUUAGGGCCUUAGGAGAGGAAGGAUUUGGCCCACUUCGGAUGUGGGUAUCAUGGUAUAAGUGGUCCAAGUAUUCGAUUGUGCCUUCAGAAGCCAAGGGUAUAAUCGUAAUUUGAUAUCCCGGUCUUUUGUGGGUUUUGGAUUUUUUUCAGGAGGUUUUAUGGCUUGGGUGUGUUGUUAGGAGCGUAAGGCUUCUCGCCACCUUUUCGUGGAUAUAAGGAUCAUCGAAAUCAGAGUUAUACCGAGAGAGUUAUGGUUUUCGGAAGAAUUAGGGUUUGGGGAAAACCCUAGUACGCAGGGCGUACCAUGGAGGUACGCAAGGCGUACUUAUAUGAGACAGGUUAUGUAGGGCAUAACAUUGAUACGCGCAGAGUAGGCGCGAGGGUUAGGUCGGGGUGCGAGACCUCGUACAUUGGGCGUACGAGGUGGUAUGCGGGGGAUACAGUCAGAUCUUGAAAACCCUAAUUAUAGGGAUGAGAGAUAUAUAAAGAGCAUGAUGUCCUUAAAGAUCAGCCUCCCUCUCACCCUUAGACAACUUUCACGAAACCCUAAUCCCUCCUUGUGUGUUCUUGGAGCUUAUAAGGCCAUUAGAAGAGCAUGUUGGUGUUUUUGAAGAAGGUGUUCACUCUUGAAGAUUUAUUGGAGAAGAUUGAGCUUUUAGAUCCAACACCUCAUCAGCUUUUGGCUCUCAUUUGAGGUAUAAAGUCUUGAACUUGGUGGUUAUUCUCUUAGGUCUCUUUUAGAUUGGGUUUAUAGACUCUUUUGAUCCCAUGGAUGAAGUCCCUUGUGUCCAUGUCGUUUUGGAACUUAGAGUUUCCACUCUCAAUGUUAUUUGAGUUCAAGAAUCAUAAAGUUGCCAUUUUUGGGGUUGAAAUCCACCCAUGCAUGAGUUAAGGUCACUUUCAUGGAAGUAGAAUGCCAUUUUUGGAGUUUUGGAAUAUUUGGGACAUGCUAAGUCACCAAGUCAGUGACUCUAUAAGUCAAGACGUUAAGUAGAGCUCAUAUCUGUGAUUUGGUCCCUUGGUUUGAAGCAUUAAGUGCUUAAUAGAAAAACGGAAUUAACAUAGGAGUACGUUGGGCGUACAGGCUGGUACGCACAACGUACUUGUCACAAACCCAGUACGCGUUGCGUACAAUUGAGUACGCCUUACAUACUCAGUUAGAGUGGGCUUCGCACAUGUGGGCUUCGGUUUAGGCCAUUCAUUGGACUUUACUACUUUGGGCCUUUGUAGGUCAUUAGAAAUCAGAUAUUUUAGGCUAAGAAUAUGUUUGGGAUUUAGGAUAAGGCCCAUUAGAGGGGUUGGGCCCAAUUUAGAAGAUUGGGCCAUUAGUGGGCCACUAGUGGACUUAGAAAUGCUAACUAGUAAUUGGGCCUUUAUGUGUGGAUUUGGGCCUUAGUUGUGAAUCUUGUUGGGCCAGGGGUAAAAUGGUCAUUUUACCCCCAAGUAUGGAUUAUGGAUCAUGGUUUGGGACCUGAUGGCUAAUUGGGUGAUAUUUUGGUAUUGAUAGCUGGAGGAAUUGUCAGGGCACCAACUAAGGAUUUCGUGCAGUGAGCUUCAACAUUCGAGGUGAGUUUCCUCCUGUUUGAACGGCUUGAAGGCACAAAUGCCAGCCUGUAUUUAUGAUUGUAUGUUUUCUGGACUAAGGUCCGAUGUCGGGCGGUGCCCGAUGUAUGUUUAUAUGUUUUCCGGAUUACGAUCCGAUGUUGGGCGGUGCCCAAGGAAUGUUGGUAUGCUUGAUGUCUUCAUGAUUCUUGCAUGUGUCUAUAUUUGUAUGUUUUCGGAUUACAGUCAGAUGUCGGGCGAUGCUCGAGGAAUGUUUGUAUGCUUUUCGGAUAACGGUUCGAUGUUGGAUGGGGCCCGAUGAAUGUUUAUAUGUAUGUUUCCAGACUAUAGUUCAAUGCCAGGUGGCACCCGAUGACUAUGUGCAUGUUUAGUUUACCUGUUAUUUAUGUGAUGAUACUUGUAUGUGCCUGGUUAGGGAAGUGAGUAUGGAGGGGGUCCCUGCGCACUACCCGAAACCGAACCGACUUGGUAGAAAAAACCGAACCGAACCGAACCGUGUGAAGACAGGUAACCACAGUUCGGUUCACGGAUACCCACUAAAUAUAAACGUCAAAUUCAAACAAAACUACAAACUCUAUUUCAAACUUUUUUUUUUUUUUUUUUUUAUCAAAAUAAGCAAGGUAGACUUCAAAAACAUGAUGACGUCAAAUAAUAUUCAUUAUAAUAUUUAUAAUAACUAUUAUAAUAAAAAUAACACGAAAACAUGAUGAAUGUGAAAAUGGAAACUGAAAAUUGGCAAUGGCCAUUACCGGAUCAUGCUUAAGGAUAAAUUUUGUCAUGUCAACCAUCCUAACCAUCAAAAAGUAUUAUAUAUCGUGACUAAAAAAUAUUACAAGCAUACAAUUAAGAUCUUUAAUAUUUUUAUUAUGUUUUAUAUUUAUACUAAUAAUAUACAUCAUUAUUAUUUAUUUAUUUGUUUAUUUGUUUAUUGAAUAUUCACUUUCUCUUCGUGACUAAAAAAUAUUACAAAAAAUAUUACAGGCAUACAAUUAAGAUCUUUAAUAUUUUUAUUAUGUUUUAUAUCUAUACUAAUAAUAUUNNNNNNNNNNNNNNNNNNNNNNNNNNNNNNNNNNNNNNNNNNNNNNNNNNNNNNNNNNNNNNNNNNNNNNNNNNNNNNNNNNNNNNNNNNNNNNNNNNNNNNNNNNNNNNNNNNNNNNNNNNNNNNNNNNNNNNNNNNNNNNNNNNNNNNNNNNNNNNNNNNNNNNNNNNNNNNNNNNNNNNNNNNNNNNNNNNNNNNNNNNNNNNNNNNNNNNNNNNNNNNNNNNNNNNNNNNNNNNNNNNNNNNNNNNNNNNNNNNNNNNNNNNNNNNNNNNNNNNGAUCGGCUCGGGUUUUCGGUUUUGCGGUUUUUUUGAACACCCCUAGGUAAGACGGUAACAAACCUUAAACUUCUUCAAGUAAUAGCAGUUUUGGUAAGCAACCUAAAGCAUGCUAUAUUAUUUAUCAAUCAACACAUAUUAGCAUAUAAGGCAUCUCUCCUAAUAUGCUACUACACAUCAUAUCGAUUAAGGUAUUAAACCUAAGGUAUGUUAUAAAAUAAUUUUCAUGAGCACAUAAUCUUAAUUAUGGUCAACGCCUUAAGGUAUUCUAGUACUAUUUAGAUAUACAACCUAAUAUACACAACCUAAGAUAUACUAGACACACGUCUUAUCAUCAUCGCUUAUCACUCUAAGUUUAAGUCUUGAAAUCCUCAUAAUUCCUAGAUCGCUUAAACUAAUGCCCUGAUACCAAUUGUAACAUCCCUAAUUUUCAAAACAAAACAAAAUUUUUUUUUUGCGCUUUCAAAAAUCAUUUUUUUUCGCAGAAAAUUCGAGUAAGGCACAACAUUUUGAGUACUAAUAAAUGUCUCAAAAUAAUAAAACUUUAAGGAUGUCAUAAUCAAUACACAUCAUGUGUUAAAGCGUAAAAACCUAAUGGUCUUGAACAUUAUUGUAGGUAUCAGUGGCGGAGCCAGGGUCAAAGUAAGUUCGGUUUCUCGGUUUUCCAAACUCGGUUUCGGGUUUAAACCUAAACCCAUUCGAAAGUUUAACUUUUGAGAAUUGAGAAGCUUGUCUUGCUUAUAUAACAUAUGUGUAUGAUCCAUGUUUCAUGUUAUGAUUGAUGUGAGACAUUUUUAUAAUUAAAAAAAACAAGUUGAAAAACUGAUAAACAAAAUAAAAUAGGAACCUUAAAGUUAAAAGUUCAACGUUUUACCACUUUGACAACACAAUAUUUGUGUUUAACUUUCACAACAUCAUAAUAUAAUAGGUAUAAUCCGUAUUAAGCUAUAUAAAAGAAACUGUGAAAAUGAAAGAAAAUAAAUAUUUAUAAGAAAAUAUGAACUUGCAACCUCCCGAAAUACAUCCUAACACCUUAACCGUCUAAACCAACUACAACUUAUGUAAUUAUCUCGCUAAACAUAUUAAUAUUAUGUAUAUAUACACUACAUAAAACGGGUUUUUUCUAAAAAAAUUAUAGUACUAAAUUUUUUUGAGAGGCAUCCUGAUAUCUAUUGUGGAUCCACCCCUGCUACGUAUUAUAGGAUGAUUUAUUUCUUUUGUUUUUUCUCGUAUUUGGUAUUUUUGUAUUGAUACGUUGUCAAAAUUAGAAUCUCUUAGAUUCAUCAUAUGAAAGUUACGUUAUUUGAGAGUAAUAUCGUCGACUUGUCAUUUUAAUCAUUAAAAUAUAAAAUAAAAAAAAACUUAAAAUAAAAAAAAAAUUAAGAGCCUAUUUAAUGCUCUUUUUAAAUUUAUUAAGAAAUGCGUUUUUCAUGUUUAAAAAGUUAUCUCUUUUUACGACCUUAAUAAAAAACUAUUUUUAAAUCUGCGUGGACUUUUGUAUGAGAUAAAAUAUAAAGGCAGUAAUCGAUUCAAAAUGCUAUUAGGGCCCAUGAUUUGAAAAAAAUAUUUUCAAAUCUGCAUUGAGUUGAGACCCAAAUCACUAUAAAGGCCCAAUUCAUGGGCCCAUUAGUUGAGAGUUCAUGCGAGUCUUAAAUUAUGUUAAAUUCCAAAAUACAGUCUGUGUUUAUUACAUUAUAGAAUUUGUCUCAGUAUAAAAAAUGUCAUAAUAAAUUGAAUCCAAUAAGCAACAAAUAUGUCAUCUAAAAUUAGUCAAUUUAAAAUACUACCGUUUUUGGACAAAAAUGUAAAACUUGGAAUACUUAAAUAUCAACAUCAUUGACUUUCAAUGACUUGAUAAUAUUGAAUGUGAAAAUAUUAUAAAACAUCAUUGAAAUUAUUGGUAAUAACUGAUUUUUAACAUAUGAAUGACGUUUUAAUGUUUAAUUUCAAAAUGAUACUAAAUUCAGCAAAGUCAAAUGUUUUAAAACAAUAUCAUUGUCAAAUAAUUAAACUGUUAAAGGAACUUUAAAUCUGAAAACAUAACAACGAAAUAGCCUUUAUUUUACUCAAAAAACAUUUGUUAUAUUUAGAUUUAUUCACAUGUGUGUUUGACAUGAAGUUUUUAUCUUUUAAAAAUGUAGAAAAAAAAAGUUUCGUUUGUCACAAGAAUUUAUUAUUAUUAUUAUUUUUAUUUUUUUAAACUCUAAGUCUAAAAACUACUUCAAAUAUAUCUUUGGAGUUUUUAACUUUUAGUUUUAACUAAAUUGACACAUCUAAAGCAAAUAGCUACUUUCCCAAACCCUCUUAUGUAUAUAAGAGACAUAACUUUCAGCUAACAACAACUAUCUAAUUUUACCAAACAUGACGUAGUUUAAACUUUAAGAAUGAAACAUUUUUUGGAACAUGGUGAUUUCUUUAAAUAAAAGGUUUGUAUCCUUUGUAGUGUGUGCAUAAUUUAGUUUCUUACGAGCAAUAUUUUUACGUAAAUUUUACUGUAUUCCUUUUACAUUUUAGUAAUAAUAAUACUUUGAUUUUUAGUAAUAAUAAUACUUUGAUUCACAUAUAGAGAUAAUUAUAUAUUUUUCUGAUCUUAUGCCAAGAGAACAAAAAUAGUUCUAACUUUAUAGCCACAUUCAUGGCAAAUAUUAAAUUGCAACAAACAACUCAACACAAACAUUAUCACUUCCUUCUUAAUAAUUGAAGGUUUUUUUACCGCAUGUCAAUCUCUCGUUACUUUUGACAUUUGUUAUUUUUGUGGUAUUUUUGAAAAAAAUAUUAUCUACUUGUCAAUUUUUGGUUUGUUUUAAUUUUUAAAAUUAAAGUCAUUUACUAUAUAUGCAAAGUAUUAAAUAUCAUAUAUAUGAUAUUAAAUUGCAAUAAAUACAUUUCUUUCUUUUUUAUUUUAAAAUUAUACAUUAAAAAAUAUUAAUAAUUUACAUUUUAAUGUUUGAUUUUUUUUAAAUCAACACGUGUAAUACACGGGUCUCACACCUAGUAAAAUAAUAUAUAUGAUUUAGAAUUAAGAUUAUGAAUAUUAUGACUAUNNNNNNNNNNNNNNNNNNNNNNNNNNNNNNNNNNNNNNNNNNNNNNNNNNNNNNNNNNNNNNNNNNNNNACAUAGGAAAACAUAAAUAUAUAAUAAAUGUAAUUGGUCCCAUAUCGAAGACGGGAGAGAAAUAGUAAUGUGGGGAGUGGCUAUAAAAGGGAGGUUAAGGGAAAUGGAAAAGGCAUGAUCCUUCAAAGCAAGUUUUAAUGGGAAGUGAUGAGUGGUCAUCGCUCGCAAUUAAACAUGCGAGAUGGGGUGUCUGCCUAAAGCUUUACGACAAUUAGGCACCUCCAAUUCGUAACCAUCUGAUCCCUAUUUUAUUAUAGUUUCAAAUUUUAUUUAAUUUCAUUUCUAACUUUUUUUUAAUGUAUAAACUAAGUUUCUUUCAUUCAAACCCAACACAUUUUUUUUAUUAAGACUUGUUUUCUUUUCUUUUACUUAUAUAAAUAGGGCUAUA
rnacentral:lncRNA from 1 species